rnacentral:lncRNA from 1 species
UGAAGCUUAUGCUUAAUAUAAAAAUAUUGAAAAUGUCGUUUUCUAAUAAUUUAAGUUUUUGCAGAAAAAAAUUAUUUCAUAUAAUUUAAUAUUAUAUUAGAGUAGUAGGUUAUGUGUUCGAAUCCUGUUACGCUCCAAACUUCAGCUAUAAAUAAUUCCAAGCCCAAAUGUUAGGAAAACUGUUGAAUGUUAAAACUAUUAAAAACACUAUUCUCUUUUCGCUUAGGGUGUGUUUGGUUCCGCGUAAAACUGUGAAAAUGAAAAAAAUUUUCGUUGGAAAACAAAUUUUACGCUAUUUAGUGUUUGGUUUGUAGGAAAUGAAUAAUAGUUUUUCAUUACAGUUGUUUGGCAGAAAGAAAAAGUAAGAAAAAGACAAAUAGAAAAACUAUUAUAUAUUUUCUCCUAUUCUAUAUAUAAUAUAUAUAAUAAUUAUCACAAUAUAUUUAUUAUUAUUAAAAUUUAUAUUUGUAAAUUAAAUAUAUUAAAAUUAUAUUAUAUAAUAAAUUGAUAUAAGUAUAUAAUAUAAUAUAUAUCAUAGUAUGUAUAUAUAUAAUACUAUAGGU